CCUACGGGAGGCUGCAAUUAGGAAUCUUGCGCAAUGGGCGAAAGCCUGACGCAGCGACGCCGCGUGACUGAUGAAGUCUUUCGGGAUGUAAAGGUCUUUUCUGGGGGAAGAAAAAAAUGACGGUACCCCAGGAAUAAGCCCCGGCUAACUACGUGCCAGCAGCCGCGGUAAUACGUAGGGGGCGAGCGUUGUCCGAAUUUACUGGGCGUAAAGCGCGCGUAGGCGGACUAUUAAGUUGGUGGUGAAAUCCCGAGGCUCAACCUCGGAACUGCCUCCAAAACUGCUAGUCUUGAGGUAUGGAGAGGAAAGUGGAAUUCCUGGUGUAGCGGUGAAAUGCGUAGAUAUCAGGAGGAACACCCAUGGCGAAGGCAGCUUUCUGGCCAUAUUCUGACGCUGAGGUGCGAAAGCUAGGGUAGCGAACG
rnacentral:rRNA from 1 species